UUGUAAUGAGGACUUCAUUUGAGUUUGGAUAUUGUCUACGAGACAAUAUUCGUGUUAAAACUCAAUUAUUGUGUUGUCGUAAUUUGCACGACAGUUGUAUAAAUUAAGUUUGUAUUUAAGUUAUGUACCAUGUAUUUGGUGACUUAAAAUGGGUUGUGUAUACCUAUUUUGGGGGCGUUACAUGUAGCAACUGCAGAAAGAAACAUGUAGGUGUUUGUUUGAAAGGAAAGUGGGUGUGCUUCAAUUAUGGCUUGGGGUGGCACAUUGCACUAAAUUUUCCAAGCCCGGGGAAGGGAACAUGUUUCACGUGUAGGUCGAAUGAGCACCUGGCUCGAGAUUGUUCAAAGAAUGUGGCUAGAAAUGCAAGCGGAAGUAAGGGGGGAAGCAGCAAUGGCAAGCUGGUUAUUGUGGAAUCAGCUCUGCCGAGUCGACCAACCGAACAUUCAUCCAACAUGACGAUACAGGACACAAUGCAAGGUAUGGUUUCGAUCAGUUAUCUAAACGGCUGCGUGUUAUUUAAUUCAAAUGCCACUUUUUAAUUUAUGUUCAAACAAUUUGCUAGAAAAUUUAUUUGCUUCAGGAGAAGUUAGACCAUUCCCUAAAUAUAGAAAUUGCGAAUAGUGAUUCCUGUUAGGUUUAUGCAUAGAAAUUAUUGGUUAGAUAUUAAAGGUCAUGUGAUGUCAAUGGAUUUAAUUUCAAUUUGACUUGGAAAAAAUCUUAGAUUAUCCUAAGAUUGGAUUGGUUAUUGUACCAGGGGGAAAUAAUUGAUUGUCAAUGGAAGUGUGUAAACGUUUUAACUUCGAGGAAAUUAAAGGUAGUAUUUUAUUUUCUGGUAGCAGGUCGCUUAGACGAUUGAGCUGUUUAGCGAUGAUGCAAUCUAAGAGGUUGUUAAGAAAAGUGUACGGGAAAUGCAAAGUUUUUAAAAUAGGAAUUUGGAUAAAGCGUGUGCAAUUUCUAAGUUUCGUGAUUGAUUAAAAAAAUUACUACAAGGAAGGGUGUCCGACUCACGAUCCAAAGUUAGCUAUAGUGGUGUUCGCCUUGAAUGUUUGGAGGGUAUUAUUUAUACGGAAAGAUUUGUGAGAUAUGUACGGACCAUAAGUGUCUGAAGGGUAUCUUUACACAUAACGAUUUAAGCAUGCGUUAAUGGUGAUUGUGACGCCCCCAAAAUAGGUAUACAUCACCCAUCUUGGGUUGCCAAAUACAUGGUACAUAAUACAAAUACAAACUUAACUAUACAACAUGAGCUAAGAGUUUUUACACGAAUAUUGUCAUCUGGACAAUAUCCAUACUCAAAUAGAGUCCUCAUUACAUUUAUUGACACACUAUUUUAUAGAAUAGUGAGGACUACUAUAACACCAUCUCGGUCCAUCACUUCGUUCCCUGACUAGUUCCAGCUACGUUCUCAUUUCCUGAAGAGAACAAUGGAAGUAAAAGGGUGAGCUCAACUAGUCCAGUAAGAAAUAUUAUGACUAAGAUAAUGCAGAAUAAGUUAUCAUUAGCCUUCAACAAUGUUAAACUGAUAGAAUAUAAUAGACAACAAGUUUAACUGCAGCGGAACAAGCAAUCCAUUAGAAGAGUCAAGUAGAGCAUGAUAUCUACUAUCUUCUAUGAUUUAAAAAGUUUAUCAUUAACUUUAUUGCUGGGACUCAGCUUAAUAAAUAGAUCACAUCAUCGAAUCAUCCCUGCACUACGGGCCAAGGAUAUUCAUUAGUAUCACGUCCACAAAUUAUUCUUGCACUACGGGCCAAGAAUUAUUCGUGUAAUCAUCAAUGGUCAUGACUAUACCGAAUUAUCCCUGGUCAUAAUCAUACCAAUCAACAGUCCAUCUAUGCACGUAAGCCAAAGAUGACUUUCAUCACAAUAUAAGCAUGAGGAUGAUGACAAUGAUAUAAGAAUUCAAUUAAAAGAAAGUAAAGGAUAAAUUUUUAAAGAUUUAUAAUUUAAUUUAUCCAGAAUUCAAUAAUGUCCAAAUUUUCAACAUGAUACUGCUUUGUAGAGUAAAAUUCAAGAAUAAUAUCCAUGUAUCAAAAAUAAUUUGGACAGAAAAGAAAUAAAUUUUUCGGUGAAUAGUACCCCGUGAAUAGUACCCUGUGAAUAGUACUUCGGGAAUAAUACCCCGUGAAUAGUAACCCGACAUGAAAAGUGUCCCAAAUACCCGAGUGAACAAUAUUUGAGUGAAUAGUAAUCGGGUGAAUAGUAUCUCGUGAAUAGUAACUCGUGAAUAGUACACCGGCAUGAAAAGUGCCCCGAAUACCCGAGUGAAUAAUAUUAUAGUGAAUAGUAACCCAUGAAUGGUAACUCGUGAAUAGUACUUCGGUAAAAAUAUUAAUAUUUAAUAAGAAAGUUCAUAUCAAUAUUCCAAUAAAAUGAUACUGGAUGAAGCGCAAAACUCACGGAUAUUCCACUAAUUUCAAGGAUUAUAGAAGCAAUACUUACCAUAGUAAGUUUAGAUUUGAGAAUAUGAAAAGAAUUAACAUACGAAAACUGCAAAUGGAUUUUCACCUGUCAUAUGGUACGUAAUCCGUGUAGACAGGUUAUUCCGACAUACUAAAGGAUGAAUACAAAAAAUAGUAUUCCUUAUGAAUACGAAAGAAAUAAUACCCCUUACCUUAGUAGAAAGCUGGAUACUACAAAAGUGAAGUAGCAGAAUACUCUUCUUCUAGCUCUCUAUAGUUUCUCUCUCUAUAGUGUCUCUUGUGAAUCUCAGUGAAUUGGUGUGAAUGAAAGAAGAAUUAAGCUUAUAUUUAUAGGAGAAUGGACUAAAUAGCAACUAAUUAACGAACGGUCCAGAUUGAUUCACUAUUAAAACAGAUGGUCCAUAUUGAUUACUAUUAAACCACCACCAAUGGUCCAGAUUGAUUUAACUUAUUAUACUUUAGUACCCCUAAAGUUUUCCAAGUGUGCAUUAUUCUCCCUUAACUUUUAUAAAUCACUUAUCUUCAAUAAACACAUUCUUAAUACUUCAACAAUUAUUCAUCAUUAAUAUUAUAACUCACAAUAUUUAACAACCAGGUCGUUCCCAAGAAAGAGGGGGCUUUCCGAUAAGGAUUUCUCCUUAUUAGCGCGCAAUUAGGUGACCAAACCUCUCCUUGACAGAACUUCUAGACAUUGUCAAUAUUGCAAAUAAUAAUAUGAAUAACUUUGUCGUCUCAAUUAUUGAUUUAAUAAUAUAACAUAUUAUGCAAAUGAUAUUGUGACAAUAAUUGAAUCAAUAAUAUGAGAGAUAUGAUGCAACAAUUACUGUAGCAAUAAUUGAGUAUAACUGAGUGACUUCUUACGUAAGCAUUAAUAAUCAAUACCAUGUGCUACUAUGCAACCACGCGUAUUACUGUACUUUUACCACCAGGUAGUUCAACAGUUUAACGGUAAAACCUCCGAUGUUAUUUUUAUAAAAAGAUAUUUAUGUCGUUUUCUAACUACGACAAUACUUCCGUUGUGGGGUUCGCCAAUGAUUAUGCCGUCGUACGAAUAUUCCCUGUUAAAACAAAUAUUCCCCGACCAAUCAAAUAUUAACUGACACAACGAAUAUUUUAUAUCAACUUGCUUACUUUGCAAAAUUUUUCAAAUAUUACCCACAACUAUAACAUUAUAUCAUAUCCACACCAUAAUAUUCAAAAAUAUAUUUCGAGAAAAAUUAUUCUUUAUUCAAAAAAAGUUGGGGUCUUACAAUGAUAGUUGAAAUUUAGUCAAGAAUUAUGAUCGUAAAAUCCUAAACAAAUGUGGUUGUCGAUGACUUAAGAAGAAAGGGUAGAGAGAAAGUAUCUUUGUUAACUGCUCAAUAGGGGUUUAUAAUAGAAAUGGUUAAGUUGUUAUUGGAGGUAAGAUUUCCGAAGAAGUUGGAAGGAAAGUUUUUUAGAUGGAAAACCGUUCAACUUUAUUAGACAGAGUAAAAGAGCGCGCAACUCCAAGACGAGGGGUGUGAGAAAUACAGAAGAAGGAUGUAAAAUUCAAGAUUAAUACUAAAGGGUUGUUGAGAUUUGAAGAAAGAAACUAGGUUUCGCCACUAUUGGGAGUUGAAGAUGUAGUUUUUCAUAAAACUCAUAGUUUGAGAUAUUUGAUUCAAGUAGGAAGCACGAAAAUGAAUCAAGACAUUGGACGAUACUUUUGAUGGCAAAAUAUAAAGUGAGAGGUUGCUAAGUAUGUUACAAAGAGCUUAACAUGUAAAAAGUCAAAGCAAAAUGUCAAAAGCCAAUUGGUUUGUUACAACUAUUGAAGUGGGAGUAUAUGGCAAUAGAUUUUGUGGUAGUUCAAAAUCAGCAUAUUCUUUCCAAUAAAAAUUAGAGUUUAUUUAGAUUAAUUGGAAAAGUUAUAUGUCAAAAAAAAAAUUCUAUGGACACAGUGGUAAUAUCAGUCAUAUCGGAUCGAGAUCAGUAAUUCACAUCGAAUUUUCAAAACAUUUAGCAAGAACAUGUGGAAACGCAAUUGAGAAUAAGCACGUCAUAUCGUCUGCAAACUAAUGGAUAGAAUGAAAGGACAAUCCAAAUAUUGGAGGAAAUGUUAAGCGGUUGUGCAAUGGAUUUCAAAGGGGAUUAGAACGAACAUUUAUCUUUAGUUAAGUUUGCCUACAACAACAGAUAACACGAAAAGCAUUGGUAUAACGUUAUACGAAGCAUUAUACAGAAGGAGAACGUUGUCUGCUAGGGCCAAGUUGGUACAACAGAUCGCAGAAAUCGUCAAAGUGAUUAGAGUGAGAUUGGUAGCUUCUUAGGACAGGCAGAAGAAAUAUGCUGAUCAACACCGACAGAAUCAAGAAUUUGAAAUCGCCAAUUUUGUUUUCUUGAAAGUGUCUCUAUGAAAAGGAAAAAUUCGAUUUGGUAAGAAGGGGAAACUGAGCCCGAGGUUCAUCGGACCCUUCGAGUUUUUGCGAAGAGUUGUUAAAGUGGCGUAUGAGGUUGCUUUACCUCCAGAAUUAGAACACAUUCAUAAUGUUUUUCACGUUUCAGUGUUAUGACCGUACAAGCCGAUUACAAACAUGUCAUAAAGUAUGAACCAUUACAAUUUGAGAAAGAUUUGUCUUAUGAAUAAGUUCCUGUCCAGAUGGGUGAUAGGAAAGAACAAGUGCUUAGAAACAAAGCAAUACCUUCUGUUAAGGUAGUCUGGAGGAAAUGAUAGAAGAUUAUCCUUAGUUAUUUGCUUAGUAUGUGUGUAGCGAUUCUGGGGACAAAAUCUUUUUAAGGGGGGAAUAAUGUAACAGAUGGAUUAAUUGCUUUGUGAUUCUAGGGACAGAAUCCUUGUAAGGAGGGAAGGAUGUAACGAUCAAGAAUAUUUUAUUUUAUUUAAAAUAUUUAUUAAAUUAAAUAAAUAAUUUAGUGGAUUUAUUUAUUGAUUUAAAUAACUAAUUGAUGAAAUUAUUAUGCAAUAAUUUAAUUAAGUGUUUUAUAUUAAUUAAAUUAGUGUUAAAUAAUUCUGUGGUUUGAAGAUUUAAUUUAAUGAGAUAAUUAGAUUAAAUGAGUUGUUAAGUAAUUGUAAUGUUGUGUGAUGGAGAUGUGUUAAUUUAAUUUGAUAAUUAAAUUAGGGGUUUAAUAAGUUGUUAAAUAAAAUUAUAAUUUAUAAUGAAAAUUAUAAUUACAUGAAAAAUGUUAAUUUAAUUUAUGAAUUUCAUUAAAUUAACUUGUUAAGAAUGUGACAAAAGAACUAUAUGUUAAGCAAAUGAUUAAAAUAAAUUAAAAGGUGUUAAAAGGGAGCAAACCAAACAAGGCCUUGUGGCUCUUGGUUGUUGUAACAGAUGAGACUCUUAGUUAUUUUAACUGAUGAAACCAUAUAACUGUACGCUUAAUGUUAUAUCAGUUUUGUGUUUCACUUGUUUUAUCAGUUUAGUAUUAUACAUAUAUUUCCUAAGUCUAAAAGCAAGAAGGAAGAAUACAAAGAAUAGUGGAAUUGAGAGAACUGAGAGACAAGGUUGAGAAUCAAAGAAGAAGAAGGGUAAUCAUCUAUUCCAAGAAUCAAAGAGGUAAUUACCUAUUCUACAAACUCUAGUAUAUGUUCUCUUGGAGUUUUCUUUUGAAACUUGAAUUUUAUGGGAUGAUUUAAUAAAAUAGAUGUUAUAUAUAUGUUGGUAGAUGAUUAUAAUCUGUAUAUGUUGUCUAGGAAAGAUUUUCAGAAAUCAAAAUUCAUGUAAACAUGUUUAGGAUGAAGAACUUGGUUAUGUGAUAAUAUAUGUAUUUUGGCUUACUUUGAGACCAAAAUUAAUGGUUGAAUCAUGUGUUAAUCUAUAAAUUGGCAGUGAUUAGUGCUAAUACAUUCAAAUACGAAAAUAAUGCAAUUACAAUGAAUCAAUUUGGUUGAAUAACGAUUCUGUAGUGUAUAAUUUCAUUAAAGAUGUUAAAAUAUGGGAUUUUAUAUAAACUUAGAAUUUGAGAGUUCUAAAUCGGUUGCUAAGUGAUUUUGGUUGUUGUAUUAGUUAUGUAUAUAUGUUAUGUGAUUUUGGUAAGGUGUAUAAUGUAUGGGUUUAUCCAUGUUGUUGUGGAAUUGAAGGAAUUGGAGUUUUAGGUUGAAGAAUAGUGCUGAAAGCCGACUGUAGAGUUCCUGUCUACGCACCAGCGCAGCUGCGUAGGUGUUAAGGCAAGGAACGGCGUAGCUACGCCCCAGCGCAACUGCGUUACUGCCAAGGCAAGGAACGGCGCAACUGCGUCAUCCCUUGACAGAAUCUGUUUUAUGUCUUUUGUUUACAGUUCAUAGCAUGUUAUUGUAACCUAGUCUAAUGAGCAUGAUAAUGUGUUAGGCUUAUAGUAAGAUGUUAUAACAUGUUGUAGUGAUGAUAUAAUACUAAAUGUGAAGAUUGAAAGUUAUUGAUUAGCAAGUUAUAUAAGAUUGAAACUCUACAUUGUAAGAGUUGAGAAUGUGAUUUGGAUGCUAAAAGUCUUAUGCUAUAUUUUAGUGAGUUUUCAGAUUCGUGUUAUGUGAUUGAUUAUUAUGGUAGACCUUAAUCUAAAGGUUAUAAAUUAACUAAGAUGAGAAUUUAAUCUAUGAUGAUAAUGUGUAUGUAGCUAAUUGAUAUGAUAAUCCUAAUGGUAUAUAUAGGAUAUUGGAGUACGUGAGUUGAAAUUGUAUAGCUUAUGCAAGAGGAAAGUUUCCUAACCUUUGCUACUUUAUUAUUCAACAAGGUUUCUUUUCACCAUUAUUUUGUUAUACUUAUACAAGUCUCCUAAUCCUACUUUUAUGUUAUGCAAGUUUCUUGAAUCAAUUAUUCAAUUGAGCAAGUUCUCAAACCCUAAUAUUUCAUUAUGCAAGUUUCUAUUCCUAACUUGUUAUUGUUAUGCAAGUUCUUUAACCCUAAGUUAUUGUUGAGGAAAUUUCUAAACUCUACUUUUUAUUGAGAAAGUUAAUUAAUCUUUGCUUCUUCAUUCCAAAUGAAAUUGCUAUGGUUAUUCAAAGUCUGUAAUUUUAUUGUAAGCAAGGUGUUUAUUCAACUACAAAUAAUUGUUGUUUGAUCUUUCAUCACCAAUGUCAUUGUAUAAUCUUACAUUGUUGUACCCAACUUUUAGUUGACUAGUGACCGUUUUAUUUAUUCAGCUAAUCCUUAGUUGAUGAAUGUUCUAUAAACUAAAUCACUCUUGAAGUCAAUCCAAACCAAACUUUCUACGGUUUGCUUAUGUAUUGCUAUAGUUUUGAAAGCAUGUAGUCGAUGACUAACACUUAUUCAAUUUAGAAACCAUUUGUACUCUAUCUCUUAUUUAUUCAUCGAUAUACCUUGUUCAUGAAGAUAUUGUAAUCAAACUCUUGAAUAAUUAUUGAUCUCUAUUUGAUUCAAUCAGUACUUGGUUGAUGAGUGUUCUAAAGAUCUAGAAUUAUUUGAAGCUAAUUCCAAACUGAACUUCCUUUGGUACGGAACCUUAUGAUUAAAGCUGAGAUGAACAACCCUAUAAAAGGGGAUUAUUUUAGAGCUACGCGAUAACGUUAAAAUGUUUGCGCAAUAGAUAGUACAAAGGGCUGAUCACCUGGAGUACGAGACGAUGGUCCAUAUAGUCGUUUAGAUUGAUAAAGGUUACAGUAGAAACACUUGUUAACCUAGGACAUAGAUGAUGAUUAUGGUUUUGUAGACAGUUAAAGGUUAAAGUAGAAAUACUUGGCAACCUAGAACAUAGUUCGUAGUCUUGUGACCCUCAGUGUAUUCCUUUGAUGUUGAUAUAUGUUGUUAACUUAAAAGUUCAUUAUUCCUUUGAACUCAUAGCUUUUGAAUUAAAGUUUAUUGUUCCGGUGAGAGUACAUUACCAUUGAAAGCUCAAUCAAUUAUCAUUCAUAGACUAUUAUUGUAUAAUGUUCUUCUUGUGGGCAAUUGUUUGCUCACUCUUGCACAAAACAAUGCAGAUGAGAUCAAGAAGUCUAAAGAGCUUUCUACAAGCAAGGGCAAGUGCAAAGGCAAAAUGCUUGAUUAGAUGACGUUUAAUUUAUUUUUUUUAUUUAUGAAGCUUAUGUAAUAGACUUGUUUAUGAUUAUGUUUUAAUAUUCCGCUGAUGAUUGUAAUAAUAAAGGUUAGAUGACCUGAGAUUUAUUUGAGAUUAUGUAACCCUUUAAUGGGAGGAUUAUCUAUUAUGCUUGUGAGAUUUAUUUAUCCCCUUUGUUUAUGGGUAGAUAGAUGUAAUUUUGUGGAUCAGUGAACACCAGAUCUGUGGCAUUGAAGUACCCGGAUUUGGGGCCGUCACACAUACGUUUCCUAAACAUUCAUCACAAUGUCAAGUAAUAAACAAUUUAUAAAAAUUUCCAUCAAAAAUGGAUAUGAGCAAAAUGAAAAAUAUAAUAAACAAAGAUAUCACUUUCCCAGCACGUGUUCCCAAUACUAAUUAUCAGUAAGAAAUAAGAAGAAAAAAAUCUUGCUUUGGUGUGAAGGAAUCAUACAACCAAUCUAACAUUUGGUCUGAAAUUAACUGACGUGUUACCCUAUAACAAUGAGAAAGAAUCAAAAAGUUCCAUUAGUAUGCUCAUCAUGAUUUUUUUUAAAGACUUACUCCCUCCUUCAAAGAGGCUUUGAACAUUGAAAAUAAUUUUCAACAUAUUGUAGUUCAAGCCCUCUUCCAGGUCCAAACCUCAGCUUAAUGUACUGCAGAAUUCUAAUGACAAUCGCUAGCAAAAGGGUAGUUAUCAUAUAUGUUUACUCUUUGAAAAAAAUACACACACCACAUGUAAAACUUAUAAUUAUAUUGUUUCAUCUUAGCUUUAAUGGAAUGUUGAUAGCCCUCAACCACCACCAAAAAUAAAAUAACUAUAACCUAUGACAAAAUAGCUAACUGACAUACCAUUUAUGUGUAUAGAUGUCUGGAAAAUGUACACUCGUAGACAGAGUUUUAAUAUGCAUAUCAAACUCAAAUCAAUAUAAUUUUUCACUACUUGUCUCUCACAUAGUAUACCCACACUCUCAUCAAUACUUAAACCAACAUUCAGCAAUAAAGAUCCACAUUUUACUUAUGAUUAGUAUGUCAACUAAAAAAACUGACAAUUUAACUAUUAAUGUACGUACAAGACUACAAAAACAAAAAUUAAAAGCAAGAUUCAACAACAAAAAUCAAAAAAAAAUUACCUGUGAGGAAAUGUGAGUUAUUUACUGAUUAAAUUAAAAACUUACCUAAUAAAUGCCAAUUAGGUUGAUGUAGAACACAAAAUUUGGUCAAAAAUAUCAAAUUGCCAUAACUUGUUGCCGAUUUGCCUUCAAAAUGCUUCAAUUACCCACUUUUGCGAACAACCCCAAUUUGAUUUCAAACAACUAGGGAAUGAUUUCGUACAAUUUGACAAAGGACGAUUUCACUAUUUGUGAAACCCAAAUUGAAAUCGCAGCAGGGUUUUGACAAUUUGACAGAGGAAUCACAGAAGGGUUUUGACACUGGCUAAUUUGAAAUCGCAGCAGGGUUUGAUAAAUAACGAUUUGAAAAAGGGAGAUUUCACUAAUUACGAAAUCCUAGUCGAACUAGCAGCAAGUUUUGACGAUUUCACAGAGGAAUCGCUCGAAAUCGCACAAAGGAAGGACUCAAAAUUGCAACAGGGUUUGACAGAGGAAUUACAUCAGUGUUAAUUUCGACGUACGCUAGUUGAAAUGUCAAACGAGGUUUUCCCAAAGGCGUAAAUGUCUCGAUAUGGGGGAAAUUUGGUCCUAAUAAUAUUUUUUUAUCUGCUACUUCAACUAGC
rnacentral:lncRNA from 1 species